AGGGAUAGGGUCGGUUCGGCCGGGUUUCACACAGGUGUUGCAUGGCUGUCGUCAGCUCGUGUCGUGAGAUGUUGGGUUAAGUCCCGCAACGAGCGCAACCCUCAUCCUUAGUUACCAUCAGGUAAUGCUGGGGACUUUAAGGAAACUGCCAGUGAUAAACUGGAGGAAGGUGGGGAUGAUGUCAAGUCAUCAUGGCCCUUAUGGAGUGGGCUACACACGUGCUACAAUGGUGGCUACAAUGGGCUGCAAAGUCGCGAGGCUAAGCUAAUCCCUUAAAAGCCAUCUCAGUUCGGAUUGUACUCUGCAACUCGAGUGCAUGAAGUUGGAAUCGCUAGUAAUCGUGGAUCAGCACGCCACGGUGAAUACGUUCUCGGGUCUUGUACACACUGCCCGUCACGCCAUGGGAAUUGGU
rnacentral:rRNA from 1 species